UGGGGAAUUUUGGACAAUGGGCGAAAGCCUGAUCCAGCAAUGCCGCGUGCGUGAAGAAGGCCUUCGGGUUGUAAAGCACUUUUUGUCCGGAAAGAAAUCCUUGGCUCUAAUACAGUCGGGGGAUGACGGUACCGGAAGAAUAAGCACCGGCUAACUACGUGCCAGCAGCCGCGGUAAUACGUAGGGUGCAAGCGUUAAUCGGAAUUACUGGGCGUAAAGCGUGCGCAGGCGGUUUGCUAAGACCGAUGUGAAAUCCCCGGGCUCAACCUGGGAACUGCAUUGGUGACUGGCAGGCUAGAGUAUGGCAGAGGGGGGUAGAAUUCCACGUGUGAGCAGUGAAAUGCGUAGAGAUGUGGAGGAAUACCGAUGGCGAAGGCAGCCCCCUGGGCCAAAUACUGACGCUCAUGCACGAAAAGCGUGGGGGAGCAAAACAGGAUUAGAUA
rnacentral:rRNA from 1 species